rnacentral:misc_RNA from 1 species
GAUGAAGAACGUAGCGAAAUGCGAUACUUGGUGUGAAUUGCAGAAUCCCGUGUACCAUCGAGUCUUUGAACGCAAGUUGCGCCCGAAGCCAUCAGGUUGAGGGCACGUCUGCCUGGGCGUCACAUAUCGUUGCCCAAUGCCUAUUGCAGUGCAAUAGGGAUUUCUAGGGCGAAUGAUGGCUUCCCGUGAGCGUUGUUGCCUCGCGGUUGGUUGAAAAUCGAGUCCUUGGUAGGGUGUGCCAUGGUAGAUGGUGGUCGAGUUAGAACGAUACCGAUCAUGUGCAUGCUCCCCAAAAUAUGGCCUCUAUGACCCACGCGCGUCUUUUGACGCUCAUGACGAGACCUCAGGUCAGGCGGGGCUACCCGCUGAAUUUAAGCAUAUCAAUAAGCGGAGGA